GAGGAAAGUCCGGGCUACAUAGGGCAGAGUGCCGGAUAACGUCCGGGGGGCGCGAGCCUACGACCAGUGCAGCAGAGAGCAAACCGCCGAUGGCUCAAUUGAGAUCAGGUAAGGGUGAAAGGGUGCGGUAAGAGCGCACCGCGUGCGUGGUAACACGUCAUGGCAGGGUAAACUCCACUCGUAGCAAGACCAAAUAGGAAUCCAACGAGUUGCCCGCUUGGGAUUCGGGUAGGUUGCUUGAGCGUAUGUGUAAAUGUACGCCUAGAGGAAUGAUUGUCCACGACAGAACCCGGCUUA
rnacentral:RNase_P_RNA from 1 species